rnacentral:rRNA from 1 species
UACAGAGGUCCCAAGCGUUGUUCGGAUUCACUGGGCGUAAAGGGUGCGUAGGCGGUCGGGUAAGUCUGAUGUGAAAUCUCACAGCUUAACUGUGAAACUGCAUUGGAUACUAUCCGGCUCGAGGAAUGGAGGGGAGACUGGAAUACUUGGUGUAGCAGUGAAAUGCGUAGAUAUCAAGUGGAACACCAGUGGCGAAGGCGAGUCUCUGGACAUUUCCUGACGCUGAGGCACGAAAGCCAGGGGAGCAAACGGGG